CGCUGGCGGCAUGCCUAACACAUGCAAGUCGAACGGGGUACUUCGGUACUUAGUGGCGGACGGGUGAGUAAGGCGUAGGAAUCUGCCCACGAGAGGGGGACAACCUGGGGAAACUCAGGCUAAUACCGCAUACGCUCGCGAGAGGAAAGCGGGGGACCUUCGGGCCUCGCGCUGGUGGAAGAGCCUACGUCCGAUUAGCUAGUUGGUAGGGUAAAAGCCUACCAAGGCGACGAUCGGUAGCUGGUCUGAGAGGAUGAUCAGCCACACUGGGACUGAGACACGGCCCAGACUCCUACGGGAGGCAGCAGUGGGGAAUAUUGGACAAUGGGCGCAAGCCUGAUCCAGCAAUGCCGCGUGGGUGAAGAAGGCCUGCGGGUUGUAAAGCCCUUUUAAGUGGGGAGGAAAGACUAGGUGUAAACAGCGCUUGUUUUGACGUUACCCACAGAAUAAGCACCGGCUAACUCCG
rnacentral:rRNA from 1 species